rnacentral:rRNA from 1 species
CCUACGGGGGGCAGCAGUGAGGAAUAUUGGUCAAUGGACGGAAGCCUGAACCAGCCAAGUCGCGUGAGGGAGUAAGGCCCUACGGGUUGUAAACCUCUUUUGCCGGGGAGCAGUGCCCAGCACGUGUGCCGGGAGGCAGCGUACCCGCAGAAAAAGCAUCGGCUAACUCCGUGCCAGCAGCCGCGGUAAUACGGAGGAUGCGAGCGUUAUCCGGAUUUAUUGGGUUUAAAGGGUGCGUAGUCGGGUUUUCAGGCCGGUGGUAAAAUUGCGGGGCUAAACCUAGACGUGCCAUCGAUACUGGGAGACUUGAGUACCGAAGAGGUACGCGGAAUGCGUGGUGUAGCGGUGAAAUGCAUAGAUAUCACGCAGAACCCCGAUUGCGAAGGCAGCGUACCGGACGGUGACUGACGCUGAGGCACGAAAGCGUGGGUAUCGAACAGGAUUAGAUACCCUAGUAGUC